rnacentral:rRNA from 1 species
AUGGAGAGUUUGAUCCUGGCUCAGGACGAACGCUGGCGGCGUGCUUAACACAUGCAAGUCGAACGGAAAGGCCCUGCUUUUGUGGGGUGCUCGAGUGGCGAACGGGUGAGUAACACGUGAGUAACCUGCCCUUGACUUUGGGAUAACUUCAGGAAACUGGGGCUAAUACCGGAUAGGAGCUCCUGCUGCAUGGUGGGGGUUGGAAAGUUUCGGCGGUUGGGGAUGGACUCGCGGCUUAUCAGCUUGUUGGUGGGGUAGUGGCUUACCAAGGCUUUGACGGGUAGCCGGCCUGAGAGGGUGACCGGCCACAUUGGGACUGAGAUACGGCCCAGACUCCUACGGGAGGC